UGGCAAGCGUUGUUCGGAUUUACUGGGCGUAAAGGGAGCGUAGGUGGUGGGGUAAGCCCCGCGGGAAAGCUCCAGGCUUAACCUGGAAAGGUCGCGGGGGACUGCUCCGCUCGAGGACGGGAGAGGAGCGCGGAAUUCCCGGUGUAGCGGUGAAAUGCGUAGAGAUCGGGAGGAAGGCCGGUGGCGAAGGCGGCGCUCUGGAACGGCCCUGACACUGAGGCUCGAAAGCGUGGGGAGCAAACAGG
rnacentral:rRNA from 1 species